rnacentral:rRNA from 1 species
GACGAACGCUGGCGGCGUGCUUAACACAUGCAAGUCGAACGGAAAGGCCCUGCUUUUGUGGGGUGCUCGAGUGGCGAACGGGUGAGUAACACGUGAGUAACCUGCCCUUGACUUUGGGAUAACUUCAGGAAACUGGGGCUAAUACCGGAUAGGAGCUCCUGCUGCAUGGUGGGGGUUGGAAAGUUUCGGCGGUUGGGGAUGGACUCGCGGCUUAUCAGCUUGUUGGUGGGGUAGUGGCUUACCAAGGCUUUGACGGGUAGCCGGCCUGAGAGGGUGACCGGCCACAUUGGGACUGAGAUACGGCCCAGACUCCUACGGGAGGCAGCAGUGGGGAAUAUUGCACAAUGGGCGGAAGCCUGAUGCAGCAACGCCGCGUGCGGGAUGACGGCCUUCGGGUUGUAAACCGCUUUCGCCUGUGACGAAGCGUGAGUGACGGUAAUGGGUAAAGAAGCACCGGCUAACUACGUGCCAGCAGCCGCGGUGAUACGUAGGGUGCGAGCGUUGUCCGGAUUUAUUGGGCGUAAAGGGCUCGUAGGUGGUUGAUCGCGUCGGAAGUGUAAUCUUGGGGCUUAACCCUGAGCGUGCUUUCGAUACGGGUUGACUUGAGGAAGGUAGGGGAGAAUGGAAUUCCUGGUGGAGCGGUGGAAUGCGCAGAUAUCAGGAGGAACACCAGUGGCGAAGGCGGUUCUCUGGGCCUUUCCUGACGCUGAGGAGCGAAAGCGUGGGGAGCGAACAGGCUUAGAUACCCUGAUAGUCCACGCUGUAAACGGUGGGUACUAGGUGUGGGGUCCAUUCCACGGGUUCCGUGCCGUAGCUAACGCUUUAAGUACCCCGCCUGGGGAGUACGGCCGCAAGGCUAAAACUCAAAGGAAUUGACGGGGCCCCGCACAAGCGGCGGAGCAUGCGGAUUAAUUCGAUGCAACGCGUAGAACCUUACCUGGGUUUGACAUGGAUCGGGAGUGCUCAGAGAUGGGUGUGCCUCUUUUGGGGUCGGUUCACAGGUGGUGCAUGCCUGUCGUCAGCUCGUGUCGUGAGAUGUUGGGUUAAGUCCCGCAACGAGCGCAACCCUUGUUCACUGUUGCCAGCACGUUAUGGUGGGGACUCAGUGGAGACCGCCGGGGUCAACUCGGAGGAAGGUGGGGAUGACGUCAAGUCGUCAUGCCCCUUAUGUCCAGGGCUUCACGCAUGCUACAAUGGCUGGUACAGAGAGUGGCGAGCCUGUGAGGGUGAGCGAAUCUCGGAAAGCCGGUCUCAGUUCGGAUUGGGGUCUGCAACUCGACCUCAUGAAGUCGGAGUCGCUAGUAAUCGCAGAUCAGCAACGCUGCGGUGAAUACGUUCCCGGG